rnacentral:rRNA from 1 species
UACGUAGGUGUCAAGCGUUGUUCGGAUUUAUUGGGCGUAAAGGGUCCGCAGGUGGCCUGGCAAGUCUGAUGUGAAAUCCCGGAGCUCAACUCCGGAACUGCAUUGGAAACUGCUAGGCUCGAGUAUCGGAGAGGAGAUUGGAAUUCCAGGUGUAGCGAUAAAAUGCGUAGAUAUCUGGAAGAACAUCGAAAGCGAAGGCAGAUCUCUGGACGGUUACUGACACUCAGGGACGAAAGCAUGGGGAG